rnacentral:rRNA from 1 species
AGUGAACGCUGGCGGUAGGCCUAACACAUGCAAGUCGAACGGCAGCACAGUAAGAGCUUGCUCUUACGGGUGGCGAGUGGCGGACGGGUGAGGAAUACAUCGGAAUCUACUUUUUCGUGGGGGAUAACGUAGGGAAACUUACGCUAAUACCGCAUACGACCUACGGGUGAAAGCAGGAGAUCUUCGGACCUUGCGCGAUUGAAUUAGCCGAUGUCGGAUUAGCUAGUUGGCGGGGUAAAGGCCCACCAAGGCGACGAUCCGUAGCUGGUCUGAGAGGAUGAUCAGCCACACUGGAACUGAGACACGGUCCAGACUCCUACGGGAGGCAGCAGUGGGGAAUAUUGGACAAUGGGCGCAAGCCUGAUCCAGCCAUACCGCGUGUGUGAAGAAGGCCUUCGGGUUGUAAAGCCCUUUUGUUGGGAAAGAAAAGCAGCAGGUUAAUACCCCGCUGUUCUGACGGUACCCAAAGAAUAAGCACCGGCUAACUUCGUG